CAGGUAUUUCCCUAGUACGGCGAGUGAAGCGGGACAGCUCAAAUUUGAAAUCUGGCCCUUGGGUCCGAGUUGUAAUUAGCAGAGGAUGCUUUUGGUGCGGGGCCUUCCGAGUUCCCUGGAACGGGACGCCUUAGAGGGUGAGAGCCCCGUACGGUUGGCCACCAAGCCUGUGUAAAGCUCCUUCUACGAGUCGAGUAGUUUGGGAAUGCUGCUCAAAAUGGGAGGUAUAUUUCUUCUAAAGCUAAAUACUGGCCAGAGACCGAUAGCGCACAAGUAGAGUGAUCGAAAGAUGAAAAGCACUUUGAAAAGAGGGUUAAAUAGCACGUGAAAUUGUUGAAAGGGAAGGAUUUAUGACCAGACUUUUUCUGGGGGGAUCAUCCGGUGUUCUCACCGGUGCACUUCCCCCAGUUGAGGCCAGCAUCGGUUUCUGCCGGGGGAUAAAAGCUUUGGGAAUGUGGCUCCUUCGGGAGUGUUAUAGCCCGUUGCAUAAUACCCUGGCGGGGACCGAGGUUCGCGCAUUGCAAGGAUGCUGGCGUAAUGGUUAUUAAUCACCCGUCUUGAAACACGGACCAACCA
rnacentral:rRNA from 1 species